CAAGUCGAACGGUAGCACAGAGGAGCUUGCUCCUUGGGUGACGAGUGGCGGACGGGUGAGUAAUGUCUGGGGAUCUGCCCGAUGGAGGGGGAUAACUACUGGAAACGGUAGCUAAUACCGCAUAACGUCGCAAGACCAAAGUGGGGGACCUUCGGGCCUCACACCAUCGGAUGAACCCAGAUGGGAUUAGCUAGUAGGUGGGGUAAUGGCUCACCUAGGCGACGAUCCCUAGCUGGUCUGAGAGGAUGACCAGCCACACUGGAACUGAGACACGGUCCAGACUCCUACGGGAGGCAGCAGUGGGGAAUAUUGCACAAUGGGCGCAAGCCUGAUGCAGCCAUGCCGCGUGUAUGAAGAAGGCCUUCGGGUUGUAAAGUACUUUCAGCGGGGAGGAAGGGAUGAUGUUUAAUACGCAUCGUCAUUGACGUUACCCGCAGAAGAAGCACCGGCUAACUCCGUGCCAGCAGCCGCGGUAAUACGGAGGGUGCAAGCGUUAAUCGGAAUUACUGGGCGUAAAGCGCACGCAUGCGGUCUGUCCAGUCGGAUGUGAAAUCCCCGGGCUUAACCUGGGAACUGCAUUCGAAACUGGCAGGCUAGAGUCUUGUACAGGGGGGUAGAAUUCCAGGUGUAGCGC
rnacentral:rRNA from 1 species